UACGGAGGGUGCAAGCGUUAUCCGGAUUCACUGGGUUUAAAGGGUGCGUAGGCGGGCAGGUAAGUCCGUGGUGAAAUCUCUGAGCUUAACUCAGAAACUGCCAUGGAUACUAUUUGUCUUGAAUAUUGUGGAGGUAAGCGGAAUAUGUCAUGUAGCGGUGAAAUGCUUAGAUAUGACAUAGAACACCAAUUGCGAAGGCAGCUUACUACACAGUAAUUGACGCUGAGGCACGAAGCGUGGGGAUCAAACAGG
rnacentral:rRNA from 1 species